AGGAACCAGAACAGCACAGCAGCGGGUUGUUAUUGUGUCAAGCCAGGAUAGGCUGCAGGAUAAGCCAGUGGUGUGUAAUUUGAUUUGUCCAACGUUCAACAUUAGCUUCAUUUAGGGUUAACGAUCUUCCACCACAUCCAAGUGGUGAAACUAAUGACACACUGGAAAUGGAGAGACAGGAGCUUCUUAACGAGGUAAAGAAGAACAACCGUAGGGUGAUUCAACAAAAAAUGGCCAAACAUUCUCCUAUCGAAGGCUAGAGGUUGUGAGUGGCAGUCCAGGAGCCGAUGACUGCAAAGAGAGAUGGCCUGCUUUUUUUGUGAAGCUGAGGUCAAGGAGGAAUUUAGAAGAAUAACAACAGUUUCCCUGGAGCAGAGGUUCAUGUUUAAACUUGAGCACUACACACCAAAACUUACUGCCCUGAUGAAGGCCAAGGGAGGUGUCAUGGGGACCAAGCUGAGGCCCAUCCUGGACAAACUGAGCCAGGUCUUGAAACCAGCAGCUCGGAGGAGGACAGUACACAGCCCAGCAGUAUAACACAUGAGGUGUGCGUCCAGGACGAGAUCUUUGCGUCCCGCAAUAGCGACAUUUCCUGGACAAGCAAAGCAGAAGAUCGUGCAGGAGGCAGACUGCCAGCACGACAUAUCCUGAGGACACCUCCAGGACCAACGAGGCUGUGCAGGGGACAUUCUUUCUGCCUUCAAGGCAUUCAUGCCAAGACGAGUAGAAAGAAUCAUUGUCACUAUGACAAACUUAGAAGGGAGAAAGCAGUUUUCCAGCAGCUGGGUGGAGCUGACCUCCAUAGAAUUUUAUGCCUUCCUCGGCGUCUGCAUUCUCGCAGGCGUCUUCAAAUGAAAAGGAGAGUCAAUCGCUAGCCUUUGGGACUUGAACGUUGGGAGACCAAUCUUCCCAGCGGUCAUGAACAGGGUGCGGUUCGGGCAGCUGACAUCGGCCCUCAGAUUUGACGACAAAAGAUCACGGCAAGCAAGACGGACGACGGACAGGCUUGCACCCAUCAGAGACAUCUGGGACCUGUGGUCAGCAAAUCUCCCUGUCAUGUAUAAUCUCGGCCACGACUUGACAAUGGACGAGCGCCAGGUACCAUUCAAAGAUGCGUUCUUGCAGGACGCUGCUCCUUCAGGCAAUAUAUGCCUCGCAAGCCCGGGAGGUACGGACUGAAACUCUGGGUGCUGUGCGACGCCAGGACGAGCUACUGCCGGCGAGUGAAGUUGUACACGUGGAAGCCUCCGGGGGAGGCACGGGAAGUCGACGUGGCGAAAAAUGUGGUGCUGGAACUGUCUGAGGGGCUGAGGGGGCACAACAUUACUUUUGAUAAUUUCUUUACCUCCUUCAAUCUGGGACAGGAGCUCCUCCAGCGUCACCUUACGAUGGUAGGCACUGUGCGCCGAAAUCGUCCAGAGCUGCCGCCUGCUCUGCUAACAACUAGGGGCAGGCGGCUACACUCCUCCAAAUUUGCAUUUUCCCACAAUACGACACUCGUGACUUACAUCCCCAAAAACAACAAAAACAUGCUUCUAAUGAGCACGUUCCACAAUAAGCCAAACAUCACCCAACGGCAAGACAGAAAGCUGGAAAUCAUAAUUGAUUAUAACAAAACUAAGAGGGGGGGGGGGGGUUGACACCAUGGAUCAGCUAAUUUCCAAUUAUUCAUGCAAAAGGGAAACCGCUCGCUGGCCCCUUGCAUUAUUUUAUAACAUUCUGGACAUUUCGGCACACGAUGGCUACAUCGUGUGGAAGGAGCUCAAUCCCGGAUGGAAGGCACGACUGAAACAGAGACACAGGCUGUUCCUGCAGGAGCUGGGCGAAGCCCUAAUCGGUCCCACUGUUCCGCAACAAAUGCAUCUUCCUCGAGGGUCCCAUGCUGCUGCAACGGUGAGAGCAAUCAGGGACGCCCAGAUCAGCCAGGCCCACCCCUCAGACGUCCAGUGCACCCAAUCCCAACCCAGUGCAGUCCCACCUCCCCCGGAAGAGAAAUCCAAAAGGAAGAGGGUGCAGCCUGUGCCAUUAUUCUACUGACCGUAAAGCGAACGCGCAGUGUUGCAAGUGUGGGGCACAAGUGUGCAAGGAGCAUUAUGACAUUGUCUGUAAAAAAUGCUAAAUAUAAACUGUAAAUAUAACUGUAAAUAGUUUAGUUCUUUAUUAUUUAUAGUGUAUAGUGUAGUUGUUUGCCGCACUUGUUUGUGUUCUGUGUUCCCGUGUGUUCCUCUUUUCCCGUUUUACCAGCAGUUAUCAUCUCAUCACUCCAAUUUCCCACUUUUAUGUAACCAUACUUGUGUUCUGAGUUCCCGUUUUACCCGCAAUUGUGUGUUUUCUAAAGUUCUGUAAUUCUUUUUUUGUUUUUUAAAUUUUGUUAUUUCACAAGGUUCAUGUCUUUUGAUAA